ACCCUGGGAUAGCUCAGACGGUAGAGCAUGAUACCGUUAAUCUCAAGGUCAUGGGUUCGAGCCCCACAUUGGGCA